AUGAGCCUUUAAUUUGCAAUUGAUUUGAUCUGUUAUAGUUCCGAUAUUAGAAAAAAGGUUCUUCAAAUAAUACUAGAUACAUAGUGUACUCUCUGUAAAACAUAGCAGUAGAUUAUAUUUUAAAUACGUACCAGAUAUGCACAUACUUAAUAACUAUAGAGGUUGGUUAUAUUAUGAUAAAGAUAGAUCAUUUUCAAGCAGAAUCUAUAUGGAAAAAGAAUCCGAAAAUUAUUCGGGCCACAGAUAGAGGAUGGGUCUACUUUACCUGUACAACCUCAUAGCGAAGACACAAUUCAGUAUUAGUAAUGUUCAUUAUCCUCUGUUUAAUAAAGUUAAGUAAUUAUCGACGCAGUCAUUAAUGGUUACAUGACAAUUUUUGUCUUAUUGUUUUAUUAUUUUGUCCAACUAAAGUUAGUUCAUAUUGACUUUUUUUCUCUAAUUUUUUUUGUUGUAUAUUAUACGAACUUAAGAUUUCGUACAUUUAUUCUAGGGAUGGUAACAUCUACAGUAGAAAAACGCAUGUAUUUUCUUUUAAUGUAAUGUUCUUUUAUAACAUUACAUAAUUUCCUUUUUUUAUAUACACGAACAUAUAAAUAUGGAAAGUAUCUUAUAAUUUUGUCCUGCACUGUAUUAUGAACUGCAUUGUGUAUUAUGAACCACCUAAUGCCAAUAGUAAGCAAGCAUUGUAUGGAUUGUAGCACUAGCCACUGACUACUACCCAAGGACAAGAUAUACACGUGCACAUAGUAGUAAUAAAGGAAAAAAGUAAACAAAAAAUUUGAACUAAAUAAGAAACGCAUAUCAGUUGAAGAAAUCCAAUCGGUCCAGAUAAGGCACGUCUGAAAAUUCCUUUGAAGGAACAUUUCCACUGCAAUCAGCACUACAUGUAAAGGCAAUAUAUCGAACAAAAGCUCAAUGUCCUGAAGACUAAUCACAUCUCACAUCAAUCACCGGGAGUCAACAAAAAUCUCUUCCUUCCCUUGAUCAUCCUCUCUUGCUGCGAUAUUGACUAAUUAGUCAAAAUAAGCUCUCCUUAGAUCAUGGGGAAGACUGGAAUUAGAGAUAUACAUAUUGGAAUAAUUACAAUAACGCAGCUAGUAUAUUUAUUUGUUAUCAUAUGCUGAGUAAUAGAUAUUAAACCAUUUAUCUCUUUGGUUUCACACGAAAAUCAUCACGCCUUUGAUGAUAAACUUUUUUAUUUCAAACAUAGCAGUUGACAUUGAGACCCAGGUUAUGGAGAGGUUGUGAACAGGUUUAAUUCUGAUCGCAUGGUUGUUGUACUAACAUCUUCGGAAACGUCACCCAUCCUGGUCAGAUUAAAAACACAAAUAGAGAUUUUCAUUGCUCUCUCACGAAGAAGGAGACUCAGACACAAUCGACUUCUGUUUAGGGAGAGACACUUGAAUUUACUUCGAGAUAUUCCUGCUUAGAUAUGCUCUUGUAUUUCUAAGCUUAGAAAUACAAAUUAGAUUGAACAGCUUGAAUCUUUCAAAAAAUCACUCAAUCUUUUGUGGCAACAUUUAGAAUUAUCAAAUCCAAAUUGGCAUCGUAUGCAGUGCCUUUGCUACAGUAUAAUAAUGUUGUGAUCUUGAUGAAAUAGAUGCACCAACUAAAAAUUUUGCUGACAUCCAUAACAACGACUCUAUAUUAAGUUCUUAUGAUUCGGGAUCGUCCUUAAUCUCUCUGUGGAUUUGUACGAUGACCUCCAUCUUCAUUGUCUUCUCUACUUUCUUCAAUUUUGCCUUCAGAAUAAUUGAAUAAGUUGAUUGCUACUGAAUACCAUAAUUCCUAUAAAUUUUGGAGGCUUGUCUGUAAUUGAUGAAAUUAAGAAUUCGAUUUAAAAUAAGGAUCAUUGAGUGAACUUCUCGAAGUAAUAUAAUUGGAUCAAGAUGUGAUGUACACGAAAAUCUGUUGUGUAAUCUGGAAUCUUUCGACAUGAAGAGCAACAAAUUGUUAGUUUUUCUAUGAAGAUGGGUUCCACGGCGAAAACCGUGAAUAACUUUACGGUAUCUGCCUUGAAGAACUUGUUGAGAAAACGAGAAUUAACCAUGAUGGAAAUUGUUUCAAAAGAUGAUAGAAAUGGAUCUAACGAGUGUGUAGAUAAUCAGUCGGAUCGAUAAGGCUCAAUUCAAGAAGCGAUGAGCGACGAUUCGAAUGUGCCGGAUGCUAUGGCGGAACAACUUGCAGAAAUUUUUCGUAACAUGACAGAAAAGAACUAAUAAGGCGAGAAAAAGAACUUUCGGAGUACAAGUUGGCGUUUGCUCGGCAAGAAAUUGAGUUUUUGAGGAGAUGGCAGGAACUGAUUGUAAUACGAAUCAGGCGGCGUUGAGCAUGGAGGCCGGCAAGCUAACGAAGCAAUAAACGCAACUCAGAUAAAUUUGCAGAUAAUCGCAGACCUUUCGAAUCGAUCCAACGGAAAUAAUGAAGUGUAUGAAACUUGAGAAAAACAAAUAAGACUCAUCAUAACAACGUACUAAUUAAAUAGGACAAAACUUCUGAUUAGCUUAGAGCUAAAGGGAAGAACAAGUAAAUGGUUUCGUAUAGAGUUGAGUUUACAUACAUGUCAAUGGAAGAUGGAUGUACGAUUAUUUCCACAACAAAAUGAAAAAACUUCAAAGGAUAAGUAUGAAAGAGAGACAAAAUAUUUAGCGAUUGCGACAAAAUAAUUUUGGUGAAUCAUUAAAGACAAAAUCAUUAGUUAUAUCGUGGACGGUAUACCUGACAUAUUUAUAUCAGAUCUGGCACGAUUACAUCGAUUUCGAACAAUAGACAGCAGAUUUUCUGAAAACAUUCGAGCAAGUAACGCUAAAAUCGAGGACGUAGCCGAGCUACACUCCUGACAGGAGAGGAGAACUGGUAGAAGCUUAGAGCAGCAACGGCAAGGAACCAUACAUUGCAGAAACAAUACGAACACCUAAGUGAUGCUAUAGCUGUAUCGAGGAGAACCACGUUAAUGCGAAUUGCUCGUCAAAUUUCGAAAGUGUAACACGCUACAAGUGCGAUAAGCAAGAUCAUAUUGUGCUAAGGUGCCCAAAAAACCCGAAGUGGCAGUUCAGUGAAUAGCAACGCUGUUUCCAGGAAUGCAGGUGGAAAAUACUUUAGACAUUAGCAGUCAUAACAUAACAGAUUUGAUUGGUACAGAUAGCGGACUUGUAUUUAAUGUGUGCAGAUAAAUAUAUUCAGAUAGAUGCCGUUUACAAAAAAAAAGGAAUAUACUUUCGACACGUAGAAUCAGAUGUUAAUAAAAUCUUAGGCCGACUUUUUGAAUAUAGUCGAAGUGAUAAUAAAGGGAAGCGGCAUUCUAUCAACAAACGGAGGAUGAACGAGGUAGUAGAUGACAAUAAGCCGGAAAUAUUUAAGAUAGACUGCAUACGCAAAGUAAAUAAGAUCGAUAUUAUAU